AGCUAGUUUGAUCCUGGCUCAGAUUGAACGCUGGCGGUAUGCCUUACACAUGCAAGUCGAACGGUAGAGGGGCAACCCUUGAGAGUGGCGAACGGGUGAGUAAUACAUCGGAACGUGCCCAGUCGUGGGGGAUAACGUAGCGAAAGCUACGCUAAUACCGCAUACGACCUGAGGGUGAAAGCGGGGGACUCGCAAGAGCCUCGCGCGAUUGGAGCGGCCGAUAUCAGAUUAGGUUGCUGGUGAGGUAAAAGCUCACCAAGGCGAUGAUCAGUAGCUGGUCUGAGAGGACGAUCAGCCACACUGGGGACUGAGACACGGUCCAGACUCCGUACGGGAGCAGCAGUUGGGGAAUUUGGACAAUGGACGCAAGUCUGAUCCCAGCAAUGCCGCGUGCAGG
rnacentral:rRNA from 1 species